AGCGGGGCCGUGAGGGCUCGCACAGCCCGCUCUGCCCGCGGGGCCCGGCACGGGCCGGGCACGGGGCCGCCUCGUGCGCGCGGGCUGCUGUGUCACGUGCCCGCGGGCGGUGGCGCGAGGCCGGCGAGGCGAGAAGCCCUGAGGGGAGCCCUCAGCCUCAGCCUCCCACAGCCAUCGUCCCAGGGCUCUUCCCGCCCGAGAGGAGCCGCUAUCUGCACUAUCAGCAUGCCAAGCACAGGACUACCAUAAUGGUUUUCCUAGGGGAUCUCCACCUUUCCUCCAAGUGAAUUAUGUUAUUUGGAGCCUCUGCAGGUGCUGCAUGCUAAGCCAGUGUCAGAGGACUCAAUACCAACUGAAAACAUCUUUCCUGAUUUGUAACUACCAACUCUAUGUUUGCCAUUGUGAAGAUGGAGAACCUGCAACUUUUCUGGUGUAAAAAUCUGUAAAAAUGCAGUGCUGGAGAAGAAAAAAAAAGUUACAUAAGCAGAAUCAACAUUGAUGGCCAUGCCAAGACGUUUCAUCUUGUUUCACACAUCUGUCCCACCUCUAUGUUAAAUGAAGCUAUUCCCAGACACCACCCAGCAUUUUCAUUUGGUUGAAGUUACAGCAGGUAUCUAGAGGUGGCAGAGGCUCAGACCAAGCUGACUCUCUCAAUAGUAACAAGGCAGGAUUCUAUGGAGAAGCAUGAAGAAUUAACAGCUUCACAGAUUCCUGUCUGUGAUACAUAUGGAAUGAGAGCAAAUGCAUUCUCCAGGAAAACAGCAGAUUUGAAGAACUGAAUACCUGCUGAUUUUGCUAUAAUAAGUGCUGCAGGGGAGAACUUCUUCAGACAAAUCCAUCUUUCAUCUUUACCUUCCAGUAUGAGACACAGGUAGUUCUAGAGCUGUGGUGGAAGACACGUAAAACAAACUGCCAUACUGGCAUUAAGAAACCUGGUGCAUCUCACAGCCAUUUUUCUGAAGAACUGAUGCCUCAAAAACUGAUAUUGAAAGGCAAAAUGACCAGCAGUGGACAGGAAGAAGGAAGGCUAUACCUAAGUCCCUCAACAAAGUUUUAUAUAAUACACUUCCACAUCAUUUCUCCCACUGUCCUUUCUCAUAGAACUGGCUAAAAACACAAGGAAGAAAAUCCAGAUCAAACAACAUGCUUUAAAAAAAAAAAGUGAAAUAGGAAAAAAGGGAAUCAAAAGCCUAUUUAUGUCACAAAAGCAAAAAGAUGCGGUGAUUAAGUACAUACAGGAAUCAGGUCAGUUAGUAAAAAGGGAAAAAUAAACUCCACUGGCAGCUUGGCUUUUUUCCCCCCCAGUUUGUAUUAACUGCAAAAGCUCCAAAAGAAAAAGUGACUGCAGACAGAAGAUACCACAAUUUGGGUCCAACACAUAAGAAAAAUCAAGAUCUUAAAAUCAAAGGCAAACCACUCAAGUGCACUCUAUGAAGUCUAUCUUAACAUGUGUCAUACAGACUUCCUGUGUGGAGCACUGACAUCUAAGCCAGCAUAUUUAGAACCUCUGAUAAAUGAGGGCAUCUAUUAUUAAGCUUUUGUCAGCAGGAAAUACUAAAAAAAAAUAAGUACAGCUGGUCCCUAAAGAUUUUUUUUUUUAAUGUCCACCAGAAGUCUCAAUAAUUUCACUGUAGGUGUCCUUUACAAACAGACAUCCCAAAUAUAAAUGCUGAAAGAAAAGAAUUUGGGGACCUUAAUUAUGUCCUGCUACAUGCAGAGAUCAAACUUGUAAUCCCCCCCAUCUGGGAAUUAAACUUAUUAAUAAAUAAAUUUG